CGCCUAUAUGAUGAAGUAUUGCGGAUGUAAAUCAUUAUCGUCUUUGUCGGAAAAAGCGCAACUUAACGAUGUCGAAAUUUCCGUUGCCUUCCUUCUGAUUUCAGGC
rnacentral:snoRNA from 1 species